rnacentral:rRNA from 1 species
GGAAGCCAUUGCUAUCGGGGUCCGAUUUAGCCAUGCUAGUUGCACGAGUUCAGACUCGUGGCGAAUAGCUCCGUAACACGUGGCCAAGCUACCCUUCGGAGGAGGAUAACCUCGGGAAACUGAGGCUAAUACUCCACACGCCGUCCCAACUGGAAUGUGGGACGGACAGAAACGUUCAGGCGCCGAAGGAUGCGGCUGCGGCCGAUUAGGUAGACGGUGGGGUAACGGCCCACCGUGCCGAUAAUCGGUACGGGUUGUGAGAGCAAGAACCCGGAGACGGAAUCUGAGACAAGAUUCCGGGCCCUACGGGGCGCAGCAGGCGCGAAACCUUUACACUGCACGCCAGUGCGAUAAGGGGACCCCGAGUGCGUAGGCAUAGAGCCUACGCUUUUCUGAACCGUAGGGAGGUUCAGGAACAAGAGCUGGGCAAGACCGGUGCCAGCCGCCGCGGUAAUACCGGCAGCUCGAGUGAUGGCCGAUCUUAUUGGGCCUAAAGCGUCCGUAGCUGGCCUGGCAAGUCCGUCGGGAAAUCUCCCCGCUCAACGGGGAGGCGUCCGGCGGAAACUGCAAGGCUUGGGACCGGAAGGCGUGACGGGUACGUCCGGGGUAGGAGUGAAAUCCUGUAAUCCUGGACGGACCGCCGAUGGGGAAACCACGUCACGAGGACGGAUCCGACAGUGAGGGACGAAAGCUAGGGUCUCGAACCGGAUUAGAUACCCGGGUAGUCCUAGCCGUAAACGAUGCCUGUUAGGUGUGACUCCCACUACGAGUGGGUGUUGUGCCGUAGGGAAGCCGCUAAACAGGCCGCCUGGGAAGUACGUCCGCAAGGAUGAAACUUAAAGGAAUUGGCGGGGGAGCACUACAACCGGAGGAGCCUGCGGUUU